CCGCUGCACGAGCGGUAGACGGGUGAGUAAUGCUUAGGAAUCUGCCCAGUAGUGGGGGACAACAGUCGGAAACGGCUGCUAAUGGCGCAUACGCCCUGCGGGGGAAAGCAGGGGAUCUUCGGACCUUGCGCUAUUGGAUGAGCCUAAGUCGGAUUAGCUAGUUGGUGGGGUAAAGGCCUACCAAGGCGACGAUCCGUAGCUGGUCUGAGAGGAUGAUCAGCCACAUCGGGACUGAGACACGGCCCGAACUCCUACGGGAGGCAGCAGUGGGGAAUAUUGGACAAUGGGGGCAACCCUGAUCCAGCCAUGCCGCGUGUGUGAAGAAGGCUUUCGGGUUGUAAAGCACUUUCAGCGAGGAGGAAGGCCUUAAAGUUAAUACCUUUAGGGAUUGACGUUACUCGCAGAAGAAGCACCGGCUAACUCCGUGCCAGCAGCCGCGGUAAUACGGAGGGUGCAAGCGUUAAUCGGAAUUACUGGGCGUAAAGCGCGCGUAGGUGGUUUGGUAAGCGAGAUGUGAAAGCCCCGGGCUUAACCUGGGAACGGCAUUUCGAACUGUCAGACUAGAGUGUGGUAGAGGGUAGUGGAAUUUCCUGUGUAGCGGUGAAAAUGGGGUAGAUAUAGG
rnacentral:rRNA from 1 species